AUGAAUCCUUGUUUGCAGACUGUAAAUGCACUACAGAAAUAAAGAAAGUGUGUAUGAGAGCUGGCAGAGCAAAGGGGGCAAGCAGAGCCAAGCACCGUGAACAAGGCUCAGGGUCAUAGGGCACACAUGAUAGUGUAAUGCAGGAGGAGUGCGAGCUUUGUCACUGGGCAUUCAGGUCUUCCCUGGCAGGAGACUGCUUACGUGCCACACAGGACCCUGCCACCGUCAAGUCCACUCUCCUGCCUGUGCAGAGGUGGAAGCUGUUCCUAGGCUGAUUUGCAGCAUUAGAGGGCAGGCAGCCACAGCUGAAGGGACCAAAGACAUGCGAGACCCGGGGAUUUGUGUGUGGUGGGCAGAAGAUAACAAAGAGACGGAAGGUGGAAUGAGAGGGUUGUAUUCUCUUAAAGAAGCUGAAAAUCUGUGUCCUAAGAAUGUAGCUUAGUUUGAACUGAGAGUAGAACCUGGGGAAAAAGUAAGGGAACCAGAGUUUUUGAGAAUCAAGUAAGCAUUGAGCUUUUUACUUGGGUCAAGAAUAAGAUGUCUGUUUAUGUUUCAACUUUACACAAACUUAUAUACAGCAACUCCUGGAGUGCCCUGAAUAACGGUCCCAGUGGAGAUGACCAUCACAAAAGCCAUCCAUGAACCUGGGGGAGUUGGGGAGGUGGGGGGAGGGGGCAGAGAGAGAGAGAGAGAGAGAGAGAGAGAGAGAAUUUUUUCACUUUUAAAAUUCCAGUAGCUUUGCAAAUUGUGAAGAGUCAAAAGCCCUGGCUGCAGCUCCUUCUCAUCUUGUUGUAUUUAGGGGGCUGCCCACCGAGUGUCUGGUGCCCUUGCUUGCUCACACCACCAGCACACAGCCUGUGCCCCUCCUGCAGCCAGGAGGGCAGUGGAUUCUGAGUUUUAAGACAGCCAAACAGUAUCGGAAGCAAAAUGAUGUUUUGAAACAACAUUUUUUAAAUCAUGUGUGUUCCUUAAAAGUUCUCACUUUCAUGAAUAAUUUUCCAUAGCCUGGAGGGCAUCCCUUUUCCCUCGCAAGCCUUUCUAUGUGUGUUCACAUUCACUUAAUCAUUUUUCCAUUUCUUCACCUCCAUGACUUGCCAAACUAGAUCCAUGGGAAUCUUAUCAUUCUUUUCCAUAACCUAAGGAUAUGGAUACUUUCUACUUCCCUCACAUCCUUAAAUUAACCUGCAUGUUGCUAGGAGAACGAGGUAUUGAAAAUGUAGGUUUACAAGUAAAGCUACCAGAAGUGCCUCUCUUGUGACACAUUACUCCUCAUAUUCUUUCUGCCCAGCUCUGUCUCUUAGUCCCUCUGAUUCAGUUCAGGAUGGCUACAAGCACCCUAAGGCCUCUUCCGUAUUUCAUCACGGUGCUGGGUACAAAAGAGCCCAUGGGUAAGGAUAGGACCUCUGCAAAUCCGCAGGGAUAGGAAGCAGAUUAAUGAUUACCAGGGGCUGGGGAAGGGGAUAAUGGAGGGGAGCUGCUUAAAGGGUAUGGGUUUCCUUUGGGAUGACAAAAAGGUUCUGGAUCUAGAUAGUGGUAAUGGGGACAAAACAGUGUGAAUGUACUAAAUGUCAAUGAAUUGUACACUCAAAAAUGGUUAACAUGGUGACUUUUAUGUUAUGUAGAUUUUACUACAAUUUUAAAAAAUGGGGUUUCUAGAUUCAGAAAGUGCUGGAUACCAAUUCCAGCUCUACUUCUUAUAAGCUGUGUCACUCUGGGCAAAUUACAUUUGGCAAAUUAUAGCUGGUGUCUUCGGCACAUAAGCCUGAGUUUCCUCAGCUGCAAAAUGGGAUGAAUAAUUCCAUCUGCCUGGUGAUAUUGCUCAGAAGAGUAAGUGAGACGGUGCAUGUAUAGUUCUUAGGGUUUAUUUUUAUAUUGCAAUUGUCUUUAGUACAAGAGAGUGUAAUGCAAAUGUUGGGGUAGGGUCUGUCCUGUUCUAAGACUGCUUUCAGACUGCAGAUUUCAUGACUGGAAAAAUCAAAGGCAUAUCCCUGGAGUUUUUCUGGUCCCUGCAGACUCAUUUGCUGGGUCUAGCUUGACCUGGAAGCAGAAUUCAAUCACUUUAUUGUAUUUGUUUCUUUGCAAGAACCCUAUUAUACCAAGUAUCGUGAUUUUUCUAGUCUUUACUGAUGUUUGGGAGAUAUUAUAGGAGUGGGUGGCAUUGCACUAUAUAAAGCAUUUGCCAUGUUGCUCCCCCUUCUCUUUUCUAACUGUUUUCCUUUUAGAACUUCUCCUUCCUCCUCUUCCAGCCACACUCCCAUUUUUCCCUUCAAAUGUCUGGAGUAACAUUUCCCUUUUUCUGAAGAUUCAAGUUCUUGGACUCUACUUUUACCCCAACCACUUCUCAAACACUUUCCUAACCAGAAUACAUGGAUCUCCCAGGGGAGCGCUAAGAGUGACCUUCUCCACCAGCCGAUGGAACUUAAAGGAUGCCAGGUCCUUCCCCAGGCCCUUUGGCAUGUUUGAUUCACAAUCAACCAUCACUGAGCCCUAGGUGAGGAAUCAGAACUGCCUUGUAUUCCCCAGAACAAGUAGCCAUUCUUCUGUGAUAGUUAGCAGCCUUAAAGGCAGAAUUAAGACAGCUUUCCCUAAGAUUACUCAAUAUCUAGAACCCCAUAAGUACAAAGUCUACCACUGGUCUCUGUGAUAUCGUGUGCCCCAUUCUCCUGGCAAAUGGAACACAUGUCGGUGCCUGAAGAUUGUUGACUGGAUUAAUGGCUAUAUUUCAACUCAUACUGGCCCUUCAGCUUGGCCUUUUCUUGGACAGAGAACAACCUUCCCAACUGUUCAUGACAGCCCUAUAAGUAUAUGCUAUCCUUAAGGUAAAAGUUUUCCAGGAGCCCCUUACCCCAUAUUUUGUCUUUUUAGUGAUGAAUUGAAUUAUUGGUUAAAGAAACAAUAAAUUAAAGCAGUGAUUGAGAUAAAAAUAGCACCUCUAGAAGCAAAGCAGUUUAUAAACUACUCAAAAAGAUCAUUUUUUAAUUUAUUUUUAAAUUUCAAUAGUUUUUGGGGUACGAGUAGUUUUUGGUUACAUGGAUAAACUGUAGAGUGGUGAAGUCUGAGAUUUUAGUUCACCUGUUAUGCAAGUAGUGAAGGUUGUACCCAAUAUGUGGUUUUAAAAAAAUCUCUCACCCACCUCCCACCUCCCCCUUCUGAGUCUCCAGUGUCCAUUAUACCACUCUGUAUGAUUUUGUGUACCCACAGUUUAGCUACCACUUAUAAAUAUGAACAGACAGUAUUUGGUUUUCCAUUCCUGGAUUACUUCACUUAGAAUAAUGGCCUCCCGCUCCAUUAAAGUUGCUGCAAAAGACAUUGUAUUAUUCUUUUUUCUGGCUGAAUAGUAUUGGUCAAUGGACACUCAGGUUGGUUCCAUAUCUUUGCAAUUGUGAAUUGUGUUGCAAUAAACAUACGUGUGCAGGUGUCUUUUUGAUAUAAUGACUUCGUUUCCUUUGUGUAGAUAC
rnacentral:lncRNA from 10 species